rnacentral:rRNA from 1 species
UACGGGGGGAGCAAGCGUUGUUCGGAUUUACUGGGCGUAAAGGGCGCGUAGGCGGCCACCGCAAGUCAAUUGUGAAAUCUCCGGGCUUAACUCGGAAAGGUCAACUGAUACUGCGGGGCUAGAGUGCGGAAGGGGCAACUGGAAUUCUCGGUGUAGCGGUGAAAUGCGUAGAUAUCGAGAGGAACACCUGCGGCGAAGGCGGGUUGCUGGGCGCACACUGACGCUGAUGCGCGAAAGCCAGGGGAGCGAACGGG